rnacentral:rRNA from 1 species
UACGUAGGCAGCGAGCGUUGUUCGGAGUUACUGGGCGUAAAGCGUGCGUAGGCGGUGGUCCAAGUCUGGUGUGAAAUCUCCCGGCUUAACUGGGAGGGUGCGCCGGAAACUGGGCCGCUGGAGUACGGGAGAGGCAAGCGGAAUUCCAGGUGUAGCGUUGAAAUGCGUAGAUAUCUGGAGGAACACCCGUGGUGCAGACGGCUUGCUGGACCGUGACUGACGCUGAGGCACGAAAGCGUGGGUAGCAAACAGG